rnacentral:siRNA from 1 species
AUGACAUUCACUAGUGUGAUGAUG